rnacentral:rRNA from 1 species
AAUGGACGAAAGUCUGAGGCAGCAACUCCGCGUGAGGGACGAAGGCUCUCGGGUCGUAAACCUCUUUUCUCAGGGAAGAUCCAAGACGGUACCUGAGGAAUAAGCCACGGCUAACUACGUGCCAGCAGCCGCGGUAAUACGUAGGUGGCAAGCGUUGUCCGGAUUUACUGGGCGUAAAGAGCGCGCAGGCGGCUGGUCAAGUCCGAUGUGAAAUCUCCCGGCUCAACUGGGAAACUGCAUCGGAAACUGAUCGGCUUGAAGGUGGGAGAGGGUAGUGGAAUUCCCGGUGUAGUGGUGAAAUGCGUAGAUAUCGGGAGGAACACCAGUGGCGAAGGCGACUACCUGGCCCACUCUUGACGCUGAGGCGCGAAAGCUAGGGGAGCGAACGGGAUUAGAUACCCCGGUAGUCCUAGCCGUAAACGAUGAACACUAGGCGUAGUCGGUAUCGACCCCGGCUGUGCCGUAGCCAACGCAUUAAGUGUUCCGCCUGGGGAGUACGGCCGCAAGGACUA